CCCACGCAAUCUCAAAUUCCUAACUCUCAAACAGCAGCUGUAUAUAAUGAAUUCACAAAUCACUCUCUAGGUAUAUCCCGACUGCGGCAUCGGGUAAUUAUUCCGGCGCCCUUUUGGAUAGAAGGACUCGAGAUGUGGUGCAGCCACUGUCUCAUAAGGUGUGUCCCGGACAUAACAGCCGGCACCAAGUCUUGUCCAGAAUGCGGGAAGAUUUUGGGCUACGUCAAGGUCCGAAAAAUCAGCAAGAGACAGAAGAAGCCCAUGCCGAAGAGGAUCAAGAACAAAACCACUGCCCAGAUUGUUGCGGAAGACGGAAAAAAUCACCCGGCAUGAGUCUUAUUUAAAGGACUUCAUCGUUUGUGGAUGCAUUGACACUAUGACUAGGAAAACCGAAAACGAUGAUGAUUAUAGUUUUAAGGAUGUGAAUCGUUGCCUCGGAGCCGACUGGUAUUGUCAUGAUCUAUGCGAUACACGUUUAGCUUGAUUACUCCUUUCUUUAUGUAAUUAUUAAGAUGCUUUUAGCUAACAUGCGUUUUACUGUCCUAAUUCUUCUCAUGCUGAUCGAUCCGAUACCGUACAUCGACCAAUGUAAUUCAUACCCGAAAGUAUGCCAGGAGAGCCUGAGUCCCCAAUCGUUCCGAUAAUACAAUAUCUCUGAAUACAAAUUGCCAGCUA